rnacentral:lncRNA from 1 species
AAGAAAACAAGGAAAAAGAAAAGGAUGAUGAUGAAAUGAAGCCCACAAACAUGUCUUGAUUGAUCACGAACCGUUUGAUUCGAUUACUUAGACUUGAAGGGAAUGGCUCUGAUUACAACCACGUGGUAGAGUGCUGCAAGAGCUGCUCCAAUAAAUGGUCCCACCCAGAAGAUCCACUGCAAGAAUAAUAAUAAUUAAUGAACACACAAGACAAAUGAGAUAGAAAAUUCAGAAAAACAAAUAUAUAAUUUUACAAAAACAAUUUUUCAACUUACGUGAUCAUCCCAACCAAGGUCCUUGUUGAAGAUAAUAGCAGCACCAAGACUACGAGCAGGGUUAAUACCAGUUCCAGUAAUUGGGAUAGUGGCCAAGUGAACCAAGAACACAGCGAACCCAAUUGGCAAUGGUGCCAAAAUCUACUCAUAAAAUAAGUCACACAAAUAAUAAUAAGUUAUGAUUUUAAUUUCUAUAUAGUUAUUAAGUGUAUAUGAUUAAAGUCAAAUGUUUAUAAUAAUUCGACGGUUAUGAUUGAUUGACAACGUAAAAAAAACUUACGGGAACAUGAGAGUCUCUAGCGCUACGUUUAGCAUCGGUGGCUGAGAAGACGGUGUAAACAAGAAUGAAAGUGCCAACAAUUUCAGCACCAAGACCAUCACCUUUGGUGUAACCAGGAGCAACAAAGUUGGCACCACCUUUCAGAUCUCCAAAUCUUGUCUUUCCUUCAAAACCUUUCACAACACCAGCACCACAAAUAGCACCCAAACAUUGCAUCACCAUGUAGAACAAUGCUCUUGUCAAUGACAAUUUCCUUGCCAAAAAUAGCCCAAAUGUGACUGCUGGAUUUAUGUGACCACCUGCAUCACACAGAGUACAUAAUUUUAGAUCAAAACCAAACUAACAUUAGAUAGAUACAUUUAAUUACUUUUGUUUUAUCAAAUUAUUUAUUUUUGUUGUAAUAUUUUAUCAAAAUUAUUAUGAAUAUGUCCUUAUCAUGGUAGUUGUUACUUGUCAGUGUCACUAGCACAUAGUUUAUGUUAUUCUUUUAAUUUAACUUUAGGUGAGCUUAUCUUAACUACACAAAAAACUGCUAAUAUAUUAAAGUUAAAUAUGAUUUUAAUCUCUAUAAAAUUACACUUUCUUAAAUUUCAUUCAAACUGGUCCAUAGGAACAACUAAUUUAGACCUAUAACAGAAAAAUAGAAAUAAAAAUUGAACAAAAUUUAUGAAUAAACUAACCUUAAAAAUAUUAUAAGUACUAAAAACAGAAAAUAUUAUAUUCUAUACCUGAGAUUCCAGCAGUACAGUAAACAAGAGCAAAGAUCAUGCCACCAAAAGCCCAAGCAAUUCCUUGAAUACCCACAGUCUUACACUUAGAAUCAGCUCUAACAACACCCAUAACAGUCAAAACAGUGAUAUAAAGAAAAAGGAAAGUAGCAACGAACUCAGCUAUCCCAGCUCUGUAGAAAGACCAUGAAGUGAGUUCAGAUGGCUCAAACAAAGGUGCUGGUGGUGGCUCUUGAUAGUCCUUAGGGUCAUCUUGGCUUUGAGCUGCUAUCCCAAGUGGUUGUCUUUCUGGGAAUUUGUUGGCUCCUAGAGACACAUCCUGUUCUUUAGCUUCCAUUUUUGUUCUUAGGUUUGGGGUUUUGGAUUGUGUACUUGUGUUUUGUUUGUUGUGUGAGUGAAGAGAUAAGAAGCGGAUUUAUAAGAGGAAUUGAUUUGAGUUAAUGGAAGUGUGUGGGUCCUACGAUGUGUUUUUUUAAUGAUUUUGUUGAUAGGAGGGACCAGUUGUGAAGGGUUUGUCCUAGCUGGCGGGAUUCUAACCACUUAUGGUAAGACCCACCAUGUUCCGCGCAGUACUGGAACGGGGAUUACUUUGCUGUUCCAAGAGAAAUAGUUUUCCUUCUAAUAUUUCAAAAUGUUUGAUGAAAAUGAUAUUAACCCAAAUGAAGGAAGUAAUAAGUGAUGAAAAUGAUUUUCCUUCUAAUAUUUAUGUAUGAAACAAAUACAUAAAUUCUGGUCCAAUUUCCACGUGUAUUUCAAGGGAGUUAAUUAUGUUGGGCGGUGGACAUUGUCAAAGUGGCUUACGUCUCUGAAUUGACACGUGUUGCUAGAAAUUGUUGUGUAAUUAUGCAUUGCAUUUAACAGUCGAUUUCGUGAAUUAUAAAUGAGCACACAAUAAUCCUUUUUUUUUUCUUAUUGUAGGCGGCUACCAUUACUGUGAUGUGACGAAAGCGAUCACUUGGUUUUGUUUGUUUAUAAAUGGGAUGAAUCAAAGUAGAUUUAUAUAUUAUUAUGAUCAUGAUUUUCAUGUUAAUAACACCAAAAAUCACUUGUAAAUUUAAAAUACCUUGCUUGAAUUACAAUUUAUUGAAACUAAUAGUUAAUGAUAUCUACAAAAGACAAUUUUUUUAAGUGGUUAAUCAACUUUUACAAGGGCGAAUUGUUUAGGAAAAAUUGACUCCAGUCCAAACAAAUAAUUUUAUAAAAAAAACUUGAAGAGAGAAAACAAUCCCAUAAUUUUUGAAGAAAAAAAUACGAUUCCAUAAUUUGGCUGAUGAUUUACAUUAAUAAUCUGAGCAAUGAUAUAGAUGUGGUUUUCUGAAUGUUUUUUUUUUUUGGAGAAUUAUGAAUGUUGUUUGUAAGCUUUAUAAGCAGAUUGAUGUUGUAAUUUAAAAAUGAUUAAUGUUGCAACUUAUUGUUCGUUUAUAUGUAAUUCUCCAAUUCAUAAUAUAUAAAAUAUAUUUUGUAAAUUUGUACGUAAAAAACAUGGUUGGCACAAGGCUGUCAAAAAUUAACUAAUCUCAAAUAAUAGUAUUUGCUAAUUAUCAAGUAGAAUUGUUCAUUUCCUGAAAGAGAGAAAAAAAAUAGAAUUAUUCAUAUUUUUCUCAUCACGAGGAUAGUAGCCUUUUGGUAUUUUUGUUUUGUUUUUAUCAUCAUGGAUGAGACAAUGAUUAAGUCUAAUUAAAACAGCCUUAAAAAUCUUGAAGUACUAGCUUAACUGGUAAAAUGACGAAAUUGUUAGAUCGAAUGUCAUGAUUGGGGUUCGGACCCCGAUACCUUCACUUGUGUGUGUGAGUUUAUAAUGACUUUGUCAUUUCGUAGAUCUACCAAAAAAAAUACACCCUUAAAAAAAGCUUAAUUAAAUACAAUUGAGAUACCAUCACUGCAUACAAACAAUAGCAGCUUUCGUUUUCGCAGUUGGAUUAUAAAAGCUUUAUCUUUGGGCAAUAGAUAAAUAAGUUGUUAUCCCAAAAGCACAUGAAACAAUUUAAAUAUUCUUGGUGCAUUAUUAUACUAAUCGUAUUAUACCUAAUGCACAUUUGUUUAGUAUCUUGAUUAGUCUAGAUGACUUGUCUAGAUAACAUUGAUUAAUAAAAUCAAAUGGUUCUUUAUAAUUUUAAUCAAUUAAUUGUGAGCCAAAAUUUUUGGUAUCUUUUGCAAUAUUUCAUCAUCAUUCUACUCUGGCAGAAAGCAAUAGGUUAGAGAGGAACACUCCAGGAAGAUUUUGGGUGGCAGGCCCCCCUCAUAUAUCCUUUAUGUCUUUUCUGUUAUUUGAUUUGAAAACUUAAACUAGAAACAUUUACAAAAAUAGCUAAGCAGCUCAGAUCACAAAUUGGUAAUUCGCAUCAUGCUUUCCGUUUAAGUGUGGUGAUUACAGUUCCACUCUGAUAGUUUGACAAAUUACUGUUUUCCAUAGUAAAAUGAUGCCUUUGAGAUUUAAACAUGUUAUUAACGCUAACAACUACUUUAAAAACCCUUGUUAAAGAAGUAAUUAUGGCAUGAGUACUGAUAUUUGAACAACUAUUUUUUACAACUAUUAUAACAACUUCUUUUUCCUCUCUUUCUAUUGGUCAAAAACAAGGGAGAGAAAAAGGAAGAGGAAGAAUAAAAACAUAGUAUGAGUAUGAAAGAGAGAGUUGUCAAGAAAUUAUCGUAAAAUGGUUGUGCAAAUAUCAUUUUUCUUAUAGCAGUACGGUACUAUUAGCACAUAUAGUCUAGUGGUUUGGCCGAAAUCAACAGGAGAUAAUCCUUUUCCAUCAUAUCAACUUCUUGUUCACACAAUCUCUAACAUUCACUCUCUAACUAGGUGGAAGUCGUGUGGGUUCACACUUAAGAAAUAUAUUUCACAUAAACGAUGAAAUCUUGAGUUUCUCUCGCUAAAAAAAUGACUAUUAAAGAGUAUGUUCCUAACAUUUUUUAUUGAUUGAAAUUUGAUGAUUAGACACCAAAGUAAAAGAAAAGAUAAGAGUUGUUUUUAGAUGGUCAAUAUUCGUAUUUUAUUUGUUUCAUUUGAAUGAAUAAGUGUAAGAAAUUGUUUAUAUAUGAGAAAUUGUGGCUCUUCUUCAUGCAUAUGUAAUAUGUAUAAUACUGAAUAAUGAUGAUAUAUUCUCGAAAAACGGCUAUGUGGUCUCUUUCAAUUUGAGGAAGCAUACCACAUAUUUGAUUAGUUGUGUGGGUAUAAAACUUUACGAGGUGAACAAAUGAAGUUUUUUCAGAGGAGAAACAAAUGAUCUAGCUGAAUGAUUAUUUUCGGUAGUAAAUAAAUAAAUAAAAACUAUGCAAAGUGCCAAACUGGGCGGUUAUUUUUCUCCAGAUUAUAAUAUAUCGUUCUUGAACAACUAGUGACCCAACACCAAAUGUUAUAUUUUUGUCAUAAAACACUAAAUGUUAAAUUAUACUACGUCAAUUAUUAGUCAUAUAUAAAUUAGUCAAAUGAAACCGUCUAUGCAAUUAGGGCCACAGGUUUUUUUUUCCUUCAUAAAUCAAGCCACACUAUCCUAUGUCAUGCGAUAACUUAUAAAAUGCCCUAAUUCGCCUCCAAUAUUUCACAGAAUUUCUUUGGAAGUAAGCAAAAGUUGCUUAUGAAUUUGCAAGUACAUACAUGGUUCUGUUACUAUACUAUAUAUCUGUAUAAGGGAACUAUAUUUUAUUUCCUUACCUUGCCUUCAUCAACCAAUUACUGUGUAAAAGAAGGAAGAGAUUAGGCUGUAUCGGUUUAAUUUUUCAAGGAUUAUGUUAAAAUAUAUUCUUAUUUUCCUAUGGAACUAAACUGGACUUCAAAUAUUUUUCAAAGAAUAAAACGAGUCUUCACUCAAAUAUAAACUAUAGAUAUUGUAUUUAUAGUUGUUUUUGUUUGCGUUAUUUUUCAUUUAGAGGAUGGUGGAGAUAGAGAGUGAGAAAGAGAUUGUUAUGGUGUGAGAAUGAGAGUUAUGUUUAUUCUCCUAUACUUUUGAUGUUGGAAAUUAUAAACACACAUAUAUGUAGAUGUCAUUUCCCUCUUUCUUUAUUAACUUCUUUUUAAUCGAAGAAAUGAUAAUAUACAUUGAAAAUCAUGUACAUAAAGGGAUGAGUUAGGUCUCUAACUCUAACCACGAUGUUUCAUAUAACAACUUUUGACAUUUUUUUAUAGGUGAGUUAGGACUUAUGAAUUGUUUGUUACUAUUUCUUUUUUUAAAAUAUGAUUAGAAAUAAUCAAUAAAAUAUCGAAAAAUAAAGAAAUUAAAAUAGAACCGCUAAGGCUCUGUUUGGUAAAAAUAGCGGAUAGCUGAUAAGUUAGCUGAUAGCUUUUAGCUGAUAAACUAACUGAAGUGUUUGGUAAAAAUAGCGGUUCAACUAGCUGAUAAAUGUAAAAUGACAUAAAGGUUAUUCUUAAUUCAUAAUAAAAAUUAUAUCAUUAAUUUAAGUAUUUGUAAUUUUGUGAACUAAUUUUUCUUUAAAAAAAUACUUUAAAUUUAUUAAUUUAAUAUAUCCUAUGUAUUAUAAAUUAAAUUAAAUUUUAUUCACUAAAAUUUUAUCUUAUAUUUAUUAUCAUUUAAGUGUUUCCACUUUAUAAAGAAAAUAACAUUUACCUCAAAAACAAAAAAAAAAGUUAGCACUAAUAGAGUAAUACUAAUAACAGAAAAUAAAGAAAAUAACACUUACCUCAAAAAAAAAAAAAGUAACACUAAUAGAAUAAUAGUAUUUUGUUUCCUAAAAAAAAAACGAAGGUAUAUAUUUUAUCAAAAAAAAAAAAAAAGGCCAACUGAUAUAUAUACAAAAAUUGGAAUAAAGGGAUAGUAGUCUUUAUUGCGUAGCUAUUAUAAAAAUUAUAAUGGAUAAAAAUACAAUUUAAAUGAAAUAAUAAGGGUAAAAUUGGAAGAAAAAGUGAGAAGCUAUAAGCUAUAAGCUCAAACGCUACUUGGAAUAGCUUCUGAAAAAUAGCUUAUAAGCUCGUGAAAUAAGCUAUAAGCUCAUGGUGAAAAAGUGUUACCAAACAGAGUUUUUUUUGUCAAACGAGCUUAUAAGCUAAAAGCUAAAAGCUCUUUUUUGGGAUUUUCCAAACAGACCCUAAGGCUCUGUUUGGUAAAAAUAGCGGAUAGCUGAUAAGUUAGCUGAUAGCUUUUAGCUGAUAAGCUAGCUGAUAGCUUUUAGCUGAUAAGCUAGCUGAUAGCUGAUAAGCUAACUGAAGUGUUUGGUAAAAUUAGCGGUUCAACUAGCUUAUAAACGUAAAAUGACAUAAAAGGGUAUUUUUAAUUCAUUAUAAAAUUUGUAUCAAUUGAUAUUUAAAAUAUUUAAAAUUUCAUAGUUUAAAUAUAUUAAUCUAAUAUGUCUUUCAUAUGUUAUUUUUAAAUUCAUAAAUUGGCUAAUGUUUUAUUUAAAAUUGAUUUUAUUUCAAUUUUUAGACCUUAUAAAAAAAUUAAACAAAACCUUUAAAAAAAAUUAAUUGUUACCCACUAAAACAAAAUUAAACGUAAUUGAUCCAAAAUCAAACAAAAUUUUGUUUUUAGACUUAAAAACAAAAUUAAACGUAUUAACCCAAAAUCAAACAAAAUUUUGUUUUUAGACUUAAAAACAAAAUUAAACAUAACGUAAUAUGAUUUAUUAAGGCAAACGUAACAUAUAUUUUUUUAAGAAAAAAUGUAGUUUUUAUUUUUGUAAACAUGAGCAUAUAUUUUGUAAAAAUAAAUAAAAGCGUGAGCAUAUAUAUUUAGUUAAAGUGAAACCUGGGAUUAAAAGUGUUAUGUUUUUCUUCAACGUAGUUAUUUAUUACAAAGGGUAGAUAUGAAUUUUUGUUAUAUUGAUAAGGGUAAAAAUGAGACAAAAAAUGAGAAGUUAUAAGCUAUAAGCUCAAACGCUACUUGGAAUAGCUUCUGAAAAAUAGCUUAUAAGCUCGUGAAAUAAGCUAUAAGCUCAUGGUCAAAAAGUGUUACCAAACAGAGCUUUUUUUUAUGAAACGAGCUUAUAAGCUAUAAGCUAAGAGCUAAAAGCUCUUUUUUUUGGUUUACCAAACAGACCUAAAUGGUCUAAAAAUAAAAGAAUAUGAAUUAUAUGCAGGAUACCUUUGACUUAUAUGGUCAAUCUGAAGAACCACUAACUAGCAUUCUAACAGGAUAGUAUAGCUAACUUUUAUAUUUAACUCCCCUGGUUAGAAUGUGUUUACUAUAUAGAAAAAUACCAACAACAUAAAAAUGUUGGAAAAAUAUCGGUAUAAAAAGAUUCUUUUUUUUUGUUACAGAAAUUUUAGAGUGAGGGGAUGGUGCCUCAGUCCAAGGCAGGGAAACAUUUACCUCCCUUCAAAGACACUAGCGGGGCUCGAAUCCAGAUUCUCUCGAAUUCAAGACGUAUCAUUUUACCACUAGACCAAGCCUUUAGAGUUGGUAUAAAAAGACUAUGAAAUGUCAUAAACACAUCGGCCAAAAAAAGGAUUAAUAAUUCAUUUUCUUUACAGCUAUAAUAAUUUAAAGGUUUAAUUAUAUAAAUGGUCUCUUAAGUAAUUAUGAAAUUUCAAUUUAGUCCCUUUAUUAAUUUUCGCCCUCAAUUUGAUCUUUUAAAUUACUUCCGUCCAUCAACUAAAUUCAUUCUGUUAAAACCAUGUGAAAAAAAGUUAACAUUCAUCUCUCCUUCAUCAUGUUCAUCAUCAAAUCCAGCAACAUUCAUCAUCUUCAUUAAUAAACCUAGAAAAAUUUAUCAUCAAAACCCAACAAAACAAAAAAACCUAAAAUUAACAAAUUUAAACCCAUAAAUUCAAACACCAAAUAACAAAUUAAAUAUUUACCAAGCUUCCUCCAACAUCAACAAAUAAAAGCUUCACCAAAAAAUAUCAAAAAAAUAUCUUCUUCGUCAUCCAAAAUUAACACAAAUUUAAAUCAAAAAAUUGUAACAAUUUCUCGUCGCCAUCAAAAUCUACCGGAAAUCAAGCUUCACCAACAACAUCAGUAAGCAAUUAAGUGGUGGGAAUUUGAAGUCAAUCAAGGAACCGUCACCCAUGAUCCCAAUAAAAGAAUCAACACUGAGAAAAUCAAAGGCAAACCAAAUUCAUCAAAACCACAACAACCCACCAACAUCAUUAUUCUUUUUUUAGAUUUCUUUCUAUUCUCUCUCACGCACAAAAAAAAUUCAAUUUGGUUUUUAUUCUUGCUCUUCUCUUGUUCAUAUAUUUUCUUUUUGACGGAUUGCUCACAGUUAUUCUUAGAAGGAGAGAUGAAUGUUAAUUUUUUUUUCACAAGAUUUAACAGAAUGGAUUUAAUUGAUGGACGGAGGUAAUUUAAAGGGCCAAUUUAGAACGAAAAUUAAUAAAAGGAUCAAAUUGAAAUUUUAUAAUUAUUUAAGGAACCAUUUAUAUAAUUAAGCCUAAUUUAAAAUAUCACUAAAGUUAAAAAUAAUGAAUUUUGCUCAAUCAUUCAUUCUUUUUAAUGGAUGGAAGCUAAAAUGCCAAUGAGACAAGCAAACAAUUUGAAUUUUGAUUAAUCAUUCGUUAUUUUUAUGAAUUGAAGCUAAGAUGUCAAUUAUGAUAAAAAAGAUUGAAUUUUAUUUAACAAUCUAUUAUCUUUAGGGAGAAGCUAAUUAGACUAAAAAGAAUAAAUUUCGAAUAGUCAUUUUUUUUUUUAGGGAAAAUUUCGAAUAGUCAUAUAUUAUCUUUAUGGAUAGAAAGGUAAAAUGUCAAUUAAACUUCAAAGAACAUUUUGCUAAACGAUCAAAUAUAUUUAUGGUUAGAAGCUAAAAUAUAUUUAUAGUUUUUUAGAUGUAUCUGACUAACAUUUCAUCUUCUCUUCAUUAUAAUGACUCACUUUAAUAGUAGCAGUUUAUUUUUCUUGUUAGUUUAUGUCUUUGUUUUAAUGAUUUAUAAAUUUUCACACUAUUAGAUUUGAGAGAAAAAAAUAAACAUUUUUAAUUUCAUUUAUGUGAAAAAUGAUUAACUCAAUAAUUUUUUUUAACUAUUUAUAGAUGUUCUUUUAACAAAAAUUUAGGAUGAGUAGAUCGUGGCCUGUCUAGUCCAAGACAGAGAAUAAUUUUAAGCUCAAAGAGUAUUUACAAAAAUAUUUACAUUUAUCCAACUUCAAAGAUACUAGUGGAACUCACACCCGGAACCUCUCUAAUUCAAGACUUGUCUUUUACCACUAGACCAAACCAUUAAAAUUCUAUAGAUGUUGUAAUAAAAUAACUUACAUGAAAGUUUUGAGAGGGCAAUUUAUUAUAGAAUAAUUAGGUUACAUGGGAUAAAGAAAAUUUCUAGUUCAAGUAUUAACCAAAAACAAAAAAUCUAGUUCAAGGAAAAAUGGGAGUGGGGUUGACGAAUUUGAGGUCAAAUAACAUUGCUCUCCUAGGUACUCAAUCUUGAAUGAGUAAGUAAAAGAAACCAAAAAGUUAUACAUGUUUGAUCAAAACUUAGACCAAAUACAAGGCUCGGGCUAGCGUGAGCGAUCAACAUAGGUCUCUCACAGUGCAAACUGAUUGGUGUCCAUUAGAUAUAUUAUUAUUAAAUGCUGCCUUCAAGAUGUUUUACUGGAAACUUUUGCAACAGUGUUUAUUAGGCAUUAAAAAUUCUAUUAAAAGUAACAGGUCAUAAAUUCUGAUAAAUCAUUUGCAAAAUUAGUGGGUUGGCACGUGUUGCAGAUAAAGACAAAAAAGUGACAGAUCAAGCAUUAAGAUGGGCUUGUUUUAUGGGUAAGGCAAUGGACUUGUUUGUUUGUUCAAAGUUAGUGGGCCUAUUCGGCAGUCGAGAAAAAACAUUAGAAGUAUGCUACCAUCACCUCCCAAAUUUGCUUAAAAGUUGAAAAGUGAUAUUUGUGAGUUAAGUGAUGUUUGGUAUUUUAAGCGGGAGUUAGCACAAGUAGACACGUAAAUGAUAUUAUCAGAUUAUCGAAUUUAAAGCUUUUCCAUUUGAUAUGUUCAGGAAUAAUCUACUAAAAAAAGAUAAAAACAUAGAUUUGUCUAUUGAUAAUACAUUUUUAAGAAAAUCGCACGUAGGCACGUGAAUGAGGACAAAAAAUCAACGAAGAUCAAUUUUAAAAGUAAGACACAUUUUAAAAGAUAGAAACAUAUAAGCGUCUAUUGAUGAAAUUUAGAAAGAAAAAAAAAUUAAACUUGAUAUUAAGAGAUUAGUAGUAAUUUAUUUUUUAUUUUUUUACAAAAGUCCGUUUGUAUAAAGCUUAAAAUUGAAAUGUAAAUAAAUCGAAGGUUACUAACUUCUAAGGUAAUUUAUUAUUGGGUUAAAUAUAUUUUUGGUCCCUAUAAAUAUGUUAACUUUUCGUUUUAGUGCCUCUAAAAUUUUCCUUCAACUUUUAGUCCCUAUAAAGUUUUCAAUCACUACUUUUGGUCCCUAUUUUUAAUUUAAUUUUUGUAUUUUUUAAUGAAAUUGUGCAGAAAUGUGUUAAAUAUUCUAAAAACAAUUCCUAAAAAAAUUAGAUUUGUUUAACAAAACACAAAUUAAAUAUGAAUUUUUAACCAUAAACAAUAUAAAAAUUCAUAUUAAAUUCAUGUUUUGUUAAAAAAUUCUUAAUUUUUUUUGGAGUCAUUCUUAUAAUAUUUUGAAUUUUUCUGAAAAAUUUUAUUAAAUAAUAUGAAUUCUACAUAUGAGUUUACUUUAAAAGAGGGACCAAAAGUGAAGAUUGAAAACUUUAUAGUGACUAAAAGUUGAAGGAAAAUUUUAGAGGGACUAAAACUUAAAGUUGACAUAUUUAUAGGGACCAAAAAUAUAUUUAACCCUUUAUUAUUUUAAAGAAAAGUCCUUAGAUGAAGGUUAUUUUUGUGGUACUUGAACUCUUAAAGAAUGAUAAAAAAUUUAGUCUUUUGUAAUUUUUACAAAAUUUAAUUACUUUUUGUCCAUGUUUAAAUUUGGUGUACGUAGUUAGGUACAUUGUUGGAUGAAAAUAAAAUCGUAAUGUUUGAUGAAAUUUAAAACAUUGUUUUGUGUUUUAUCUUUUUAAUUUUAUUUUAAUGUUGAAAACAAAACAAAAAUAUCGUAUAAGCAAAACACAACAACCGAUCCAAUCCAAAAUGCAUUUGUUUGAUUUGGUUUGGUUUGGUUCGGAUUUUAUUUUUAAAGUCAACCGAACCAAAUCAAACCGCAUACUUUUUCAGCUUACGGUUCGGAUGAAUUUUAGCCUCAAAAUCGAACCAAACCGCACUGCAAAUACCCAUACGUUUGACAUUUUAUGCGGGAGUUAACGCACUUAGGAACGUGAAUGAGUAAAACCAAAUAGGAGGAGAUUAAUUUAAAAAAUAAGAUAGGUUAAAACCAAAUGGGUUGAUAAUAUCGGAUUAGAAGAAAAAAAAUCCACUUGUUAACGAGAUCAUUAACCUAUUAAAAAUAAGAUACAUACAUAGAAUUGUCUAUUGAUGUAUUUUUAUAUAAUGAGUAAUAUUUUUUUAUUAAAGCUUAAAAUUGAAACGUAAAUGUAUUGUCAUCAAUAAAUGAACUAAGUUAGUUUUUUAUUUUUAAGAAAAAUCCUAAGAAGAAGGUUUUUUGAUUUUGUAUAUCGCAAUUAUGAACAUUUUUGUUUAUUAAGGUAAUAAUGAACCUUUUUUUAAAAUUUUAAAUAAAAAACAAUAGUAACAUUGGUAAUGUCAAUCUCCGUGAGCUUAGUUCAGUUGGUAGAGAUAUUGCAUAUUAUAUGCAGGGGUCGGGGUUCGAACCCUGACACUCCACUUCUCCACAAUUUAAUUGUGUGAGUUUUAGCCACUAGACUACUUGACAAAAAAAAAAAAAAAAACAUUGGUAAUGUCAAUGGGAGAUCAAAUAUGUGUGUUAAACCUGCUUCAAUUUUGCUUUCAGAAAAAUAAACUUUAUUAAGUCCUUUAUCAAAAUACAUUUUUGGUUUUAUUAAGUCCUUUAUUAAUUACAUACAAUGGCAUUGAGAAUGCAAAUGCAACAAAGCGAUUUCGGAAAGGAUUCAUAAGAAGAAUAUGAUGUAAGCGGGGGCCCACAUCUUCUUCUUUUCGUACAUCUCAUUGAUCCAAUUGUUGUUUUCUAACCCAAACUUUUGAACCAUCUCAGACCACAGAUCUUCAAAUUUGUUAAUCUCAAUGUCAGUCAGCAUGCAUUUUUUCAGAUAAGACAUAAAAUCAGGAAUCCCAAUGUUGGUGCAAGCAUUCCUUAACAGAUGCCAAGCACACAACCUGUGGUGCGCUGCAGGAAAAACCUUUUUAAUGGCAUUUUUCAUUGCAAGGUCUCCAUCUGUUAUAACUGACAAAGGAGGUUUACCGUUCAUUGCACUCAAAAAUUGUUCCAACAACCAUACAAAUGUGUCUUCGGUCUCCCGCGUUACUAUACCAGUCGCAAAAACAAUGGUCUGAUUAUGGUGAUUAACACCUGAGAACACAACAAACGGACAAUUGUACUUGUUCUUCCGAUAAGUUGCAUCGAAGGCCAAAACAUCUCCAAAUAUCUCAUAAUUCAUACGACUUUCACCGUCACACCAGAACAGACGCUCAAGGCUCCUAUCAUCAUCAAUACAACUUUUCACAAACAUAAGAGGAUCGUUUGUGCAAAGAUCUCGAAGAUAGUUAACUGCACCAGAAGCAUCAGAAAACAAUGAUUUGCGUUGCCUCGCAACCUAGUUGUACAAAACCUUUUUAACAAAUCCUACCUUAUGAAAAUUCCCGGAAGCAUUUGCCAAAGACCCAUACAUUUGGUAAGGUCGUAUCCCUGCUUCUCGAUUACGAUCAAUUUCAGCUAUGUCGGCCUCACUCUAUUUUCUGUACGUCGGCAACAUUCCACAAAGAGUACCACCUCCUUGCUCAAACAGAGGAUUCGAAGCUUGUGAUCUUCCAUCCAUGUAUCUGAGUACCAACAUUUUAUAUCAAUCAGGGUUAUGACAACUUGAAUAAAACCUAAACAUGUACCGUACAAAAACCCAACCAGCAUUAAUAUGUUGCAUAAUUAUACCAACACAAAGGCAAACCAUGUCUCUGAAUUUCAAACAUAGUAGUACUACAACAUGAAUAGGGGCAGAUCGAUUGUCAUUUUCAUCAAACUAAUAAUACCUCCACUAUAAUCAACAAAACAACCAUUUUUGUUUAAACCAAAAUGGAUUAAGAAAAAAAGAACAAAAAAAAACAUUAAGGAAGAUCAGCAUCCAAUCCGAAAAACUAAUAAAUAUGAAGUCUUUAAACAAAACAUGAGAUAUGCUAACCAAAAUGGAUUUAGAAAAAAAAAAAAAAAAGAUGGAAUCUAGAUCCUGCAUACAAUCCGAAAAACUAAUACAGAUGAAGUUUUUGAAAAAAAAAAACAUGAUUAGAUGCCAAAAAAUAUCUUACUGAUCUUUAAUCUUCAGCUCAGAAUAAGCCUCCUGAGUAUCGACUGGAUUCUUUUCUUUUAUCUUAGAUCACUCCUUCACAAAUGUUUUUUUUUUUAAGGAACAAAUGUUAAAUGUUUGGCUUUCAGAUUUACUGUUUGACUAUUUUAUAUUAAAUCACCUUAAUUUGUUUUGUAUUUAUUGAAGAUACAAAAAUGGAAAAAUAUAUUAAAUGUUAUUAAUAAAAAAUUGGUAAAAACCGGCUUCACCUAAUAUAAACGGUACAUUUGCAAGUUUCACCGUGAGAGACCUAUAAGGCUUGCUCACGUCAGAAGGCGCCAAAUACAAUUGACUUUUUAUACCUUGCAUACCCUAAACUGACCAAAGACACCAAAACCACUCCCACUUACUAAUUUUUACAUUGCACACUUCUCUUUAAACUCAAACUCUCAACUCAAAAUUCCUUUUAACAUUAACUACAAUAUUGCUCUCACCAGCAACAACUUUCUAUACAUGCCACCUGCUUGCAUCCGCAACCAUAACACUAGGGCUAGGCCCAUCCCAAAUCACCUUUAUCUUCUUUCUUGCACCAACUAAUGCUACCUCGUGUUGUGCUCGCGCUAACAACUCACUGCACAUGAUAGCUACAACCUCCAUGACUCCACCGUGAGUCUGACCCCUAGUAUGAUGAUCAUACUUUGCGAUUCGCCAGUGGAACUACAUAUUUGGUAUCUAUCCAUUCCAUAAUAAAUUUCAUGUUUAAAAUUUAAAAAAUCAUUUAUGUGUGGAAUGAUUAUUUUAUAUCAUUUUUUAAAUUAUGAAUAUUAUGGAUGUUAGACCUCCACAAUGUGACAAACUAAAAGUAUGUUUGGAUGACGAGUUUUGAAGGAGAAUUGUGGAGAUAUUUUAUAUUGUUUUUUAAAUUAUGAACACUAGAUGUUUUAAAAAUAAAUUAAAUGUGAUUGAGAUAUUAUAUAAUCAUUUAUCAUGUUUUUAUUUCAAUAUUUUUAAAAUAUCAAAUAUAAUUCACAAUAAAGACUUAGUGUAAGUUUGGUUACGUGUUUCGGCACCUCAAGCACGCGUUUUUGUCAGUAAACGUGAUUCUUGUCUCUUGCAAAUAUGUUUGGCUAUUUCUUUAAGAAUCGAUUUUAUCUCCCAAACUCGAUUCUAUCAAAAGCCAGGAAUCUUAGAUUUUACGGUGAAUCCAAAAUCUAUUCUCAAUUUGCAUUUGGGUUACAAUUUCAGAAUUCAUUUUAUCCCUGUAUUGCCUUAACAAUUAUAUCAAUAUAAUUCUUACUAGGACUCAAUAAUCUGAACCAGAUCUCCUAUAUCUACCCCCUAAAUUGUUGCAUGUUUCUGUUCUAUAUGACUCAAUAAUCGAGAUGGAAUUUAUUUGAUGAGGGAAAAUGAAUAUGAAAUAUGAGAGAUGGGGAAAGAGAAUUGAUAGAAUGGAAGAAGAAAAUUGAGAAAUAAGAGAAGGAGGGAGGAAUGUUAGAGGGGUGACAAAUAUUACGAGCUAUGUUUGAAGGUUAUGACUUUUGUAGUUCUUAAUACUCCGUUGGUUGAUCGGAUACCUAAUGAUCGAAUGGUUUGGAAACCAGAAAAAAAUGGUUUAUAUUAUGUUAGAGGUGCGUACAUGCUAUGUGUCGAAGAGUUAGUCGAUACUUCUCAUCUACGGCGUUCGAGUUUUUGGUCGGGUAUUUGGUGCAUAAAAGUGCCACCGAUGGUAAACCAUAUGGUUUGGUGGAUGUGUCGUGGAUGCUUGCCAACUCGAGUUCGUCUAGAAGAUAAAGGGGUGCAUUCUCUUUGAUUGGUUAAAAUUCACAUGGAUCCCACCAUAUCAUGUGUGACCCCUAUGAAUUUCAACCAAUCAAAGAAAGUGUGUUGACAAGUGUAUGUUAAAAUGUGUGUUGCUAGCAUUUCUCUUAUCCAUAUUUUUUUCCGGCUCUCACACGGAUUUCCGAACCAUCAAAGGUGGGCAACUAAUCAGGCUCAUGCGUAGAAGCAUGCACACUGGUCAAACGUUGUUCCCUCUGAAAAUUGAACUCAAUAUUCCUCGGAUAUGUCCUUAGAAGGAGCUCCUUGAUCCUAGAGUCUAAACAACUUGAUUUCUGAAAUCCAUAUUUUAAAUCCGAAAAAAGAUGCUCUUAGUCGCUUUAUGAUAUUAAUUUUUUAAGAGGUUAUAUUAAAUUUAUAUGGGUUUAAAAGAUGCUCUUACAUAAUUUUUGUUUAAAAAAGAGUCGAAGUUCUGUACGUAAUUACAGUCAUUAAAUAGUCAGUGAAUGACAAAAAGAUAGGGUCAAAAUAAGUAAUAAAUUCCUGAAAAGUAGGAUCUAAGUAAUUUAUGUUGCUCUCAUGUCAUGAUUAAUAUAAGUUAUCUUGUUAUUUAUAGUCCACCCGUAUCAAAGCAGAGUGAUCUAUAUCAUCUUUCUGGCUUAUUCAUGUUAAUAUUAAAAAAAACUCAGCUGAUAAACUUGUUUGUCACCCACCCGUACGUAAAUUGACGUGUGCCUUUCUAUUUUUUUUUUACUCCCUCAGUUUCAAAAUAUAAGCAAAUUUUACUUUUUAGGUUCAUUCAAUUAAUGAUGUAUGUGGUUUAUAACCACAUACAUCAUUAAUUGAAAACCACAUACAUCAUUAAUUGAAUGAACCUAAAAAGUAAAAUUUGCUUAUAUUUUAAAACGGAGGGAGUAAGUCAUACAUAAUUAUUUUAUUCCUCUUGUGUUUUUUUCAACAUGAUGAUUAAUUCCAAACAUUAAGAAAAAUAAACAUACUAUACUUUUGAUUUUUGAAAAAUUAUUUUCCAAUUUUUUAUAUUUGUUACCUUUGAAAAAUGAUCAUAUUUUAAUUUUUUUUUUCAAAGAGUCAAAUGACUAAACUCAUAACACUGAAUGCAGAGAAAUAAAGAAUUAUGAGUUUAAAUCCACACCCCUUAAUAUCUAAUGUCCCUCCAAUUCUUUUUAUCAUUUGGGUUAAAUUUUUUAUAGAAAAUAAUUUUUUUUAAGAAGCCAAAAUGAAAUUAAUAAUCACCAAGAACGAAUUAUCUCGCACAAGGUGUGUUAAGAGAAUCAUUCCUCAAAAGAAUACAAAUCCAGUAUCUGUUGCCAAAAAAAAAAACACAGCUACAGAGAUGAAUAAAAACUACUCCAUAACACUCAUACAAGUUAAAGGGUGCCGCCACCAGUCAUUAUAACUGAAAGCUGAAGUGAACAUAUGAGCCUUUAGCCAAGAAAAAGAAACAAACUUUACAUUGUCUAAUAAUUGUGUCACAUCCCAUGCUUUGUUUUUUAAAAUUAUGUUGUUUCUUUCCUUCCAAACUGUCCAAACGCAAGCAUGCUAGAUAACUUUGAAGAAAGAAUGUGUGACUCUCGGUAACCCCGCCAUGUGGCCAAAUUGAUGAAAAUGGUCAUGACCAGCAUUUGGAGAAAUGAAAGAGACACCGAGCCAUUGGUAAACCCGAUGCCAAACAAUGCCAAAGAUGUCGCAACUGAAAAAAAGAUGAGUCGUCGUCUCCGGACAACCGCAACCACCUAUGCAAUAAAUGUCUUCGUGAUGAAGUGCUCUCCUACGGAUAAGAUUGUCUUUGGUAGGAAGUCAAUAAAACUUAUUCAAUUGUGAAAAGGUCUAAUCAUAAAACAAGAAUUGUACUCAUCACACUAACAAUGAAAAAAUUAACCACCCAUAGUGGGGGAUGUAAAAUUUAUGAGGUUUGGUAACUUUUAGAGAGAGAAGUUCUAACUUCUCUCUUCUCCGUCUUUCACCUACAAACAACAAUCGUCUUCCUACAUCACCCUCCUCUCCUCCCCUUCACAUCCAAACAACAACCGCAUCGAUGUAGAUGCUUGCUGUGGUGGUGUGAUGCCUUUCAUGGCCGCAUCACUGUUCUCCCCUUUUUUCCUCCAGCGACCCUCCUUCCGAAGUUUCUCUCCUCUUCCGUCGCCGUUCGUCGGUUUUCAGGUUUGAGUUGUGUUGUCUGAUUCUGGCUGGUGGUUGUUUGUUGUUCCUUUGGUUCUUCGGAUUUAGUUCAUAUCUGAAGGCUAUAGAGAUCAGAUUGCUUCCUUCACGCCGGAUUGAGGUUAGGGGAUGUUUUGUGUCUGUUCUGCCUUUUCGCAGAAUAGCUUUCUCCAAGGUUGUCCGGCACUGUUUUCGGCGGCGCUCCGGUCGGCGUUUGCUUCGUUUUCCGACGAUGGUUGCCUUGGUCACCGCUGCUUUUGUUUUAGUUUCUUUUAUUUACGUUUUGUUUUAGGAAGUUGAGGUUGGGUGUGGUUUUGUUCUGGAUACGGUGACUCUGUUUGAAAAUCUUUCAUCUGGUUUUACUGGAUUUAGGAUGUGGAUUCUAUUGUUCUUUUCAUCAGUGCGUGGAUUUGUUGGAUGCAUCCCAUGAUCUGGAUUCAACGAGUCUUAUGUUCUCCUGAGGUUGCUCGAAAGAGCUAGGUGCGUAGAUGCUCCGUGUUGACGGUAGUUGUCGUUCGUCGUACCUUAAGAACUAUAUCUGCUGCGGUUGCUUCAUGCUCUGCGGUGGACUGUGUUGGAGUUCCUUCGUUUGUUCAUCCCUCGAUCUGGACAACGAUUGGAUUGGUUCGGCCCGAAAGGGCGUGUAUGACUUGCUGUUUAGGGAGUUGCUGGAACUUGAAUCAGACUGUGUUGACAGAACGCCUAUUUAGAAGCUUGAAACACUAGAACUAUGUUUUUUUGCAAUUUGGUUUCGCGUCCAUACGUGGGUGCGCUGGAUUGUCCGUGGUUGUUGCUGUUUUGAGUUUUGCUUUUUACCCUUUUGGUGGUUUAUUUUAAUCUUAUUUCUAUUUUGCUUAAAAAAAAAAACCACCCAUAGUAAAAUAUUUAAACAACAAGAAAAAAAGAAAUAACCCAAAAGAAUUUACGACACCGUCGACAUCACCCGUCUUAAUCGUUCUCGAUCGCUCUAUUUUCCCUCCCCUCUUUUCCUCUUCUUAUGGACGUCGCAACUUCUCUACAAAUCAUAGUUUUAAUCUUUAUUAAAUACUAAAUCACAUUGUAUGCUUUGCUCAACAACAAAAAAUCAAUUUGUAAAAAAAAUCAUAUAACCUUUAUCUUAUUAAAAUAUAUAAAAAGGAAAAGAAUUUAAUUUUAUGAAAGCUUAAUUGUGAAAAAUAUAUUUAUGGAUAAAACAUGAGAAACAAUUACGUUAGCAUAUCUCUACCUUAUCCUAAUAUCACAUAUAAAAUAAAACUGAGGAGUAGUUAAUCAUAAAAAAAUAUAAACAUGUCUCAAAAACAAAUAAUUAAUCUUUAUCCAGGAAAUACAAGUCGGAUUGGAAGACUUUUCAUAAAUUAUUAACGAAUAAAAAGUUACUCAUAUAUUUGUAAUGAAACCGUCAAUGAUAGGAUUUUCUUUUUGAAAGGUCAGUGAUAGAAUUUUCAAUGUGUUAUUGUUGAUCCUUUAAAAAAAAAGUGUUAUUGUUGAUUUUUUUUCCAAGUUAUAUUAUUUGAGUCUAAUUUUAUAUUUGUGAGCAAAUCAUAAUUAAUCACAUGAACGACCCUUGAAAGUAGUUAUAAUUAAGGAUUUUAAUAUUUUGAUAGUUUUAUUUUUUUUAAAUAAGAUAGUUAUGACUUAUGAUUGAAUGAUAGUGAGUAAUAUUUCAUUCUAUUUUUUUUCUCUUUUAAUUGCAAGUUAAAAUAUUAUUGGCAAACCUAAUAUGACUUCAAGGUGAAAACUCCCACUUUGGUUGGAGAAACUGUGUGGCUUCCUAUUCAAAUGUUUCAUGUGGCAUAAUUUCUUCCUUGGAAUGGAUCUUCUUCAUGUCUCUCUCAGCGAAUAAAUAAUGCUCAUAAUUUGUCUUGAGCUAAAUUGAUUUGAACUUCUUACAUUCGUACUUCUAAAUAUUUUUUGCUUUGAAUACUUACUUAUUCAUAACAAAGUUCCUAUAUGUGAACAUCUUCGUUCUAAAGGUUGUAAUAUAAUCUCUAUUUGUUGUCACUAUUAUGGGGUGCAAACGAAACUUUCAAUCAUUUUUUCUCAACUGUCCCUUUUCUUAUGACAUUUGAGGUUGGAAAUAGGCUUCCAUUGGUUGUUGUAUUAAUACUUAUAAUAUUGACUACUUUGACUUUUCUUGAUAUUGAUUUUGAAUGAUGAAUUACAAAUUGUUUUGCUUGUUGUAGUUAUUAAUAUCUUUUGGUUCAGUCGAAAUCAACCGCGCUUUCAUAAUAAGAUUAUUUUUCUUCAGUUCAUACAUGAAUUAAUCAAGAGGAGUACUUCUCUUGCUUUAUCUAUUUGCACCGGUCACAUAUUAAACUCAAUUAAAGAAUUUUCAAUUCUAAAUUUUUUAGAGUGAUCGAUUUUCAUAAAAAAGCUCAAUAUAUUAUUUGGCGGAUUUAAAAUCUUCCAUGUGUUUGGUUUAAGUGUAAAUACAAAUGAUGCACCUAGACUCUAUAAACCUUUCCUUUUAGAAGUGUAACUAACAAAUAGCCUAGGUGUCUUCAAACCCACAUGGGGUGAUACUAGUACAUCAAAAAUACCAAGCAGGGAAUUAUAAAAAAUAGAAGGUACCUGAUGUAUAGUUAUCAAUUGAAAUUUUUGAGGUCUAACCAAAACAACGAUCACCUAUUUUUGAUUAACAACACUUGUUAGACCUUGGUUCUCUUGAUCCUUGUGACUUGUGAGGGGUGUGGGUGACAAAAUUGACUUAUUUGGCCUUCAAAUCCUUGAUUUGUUGAACCUCAUUAUGAACCAUGAGUUCAAAAAUGUAAUCAAGUUGUUGAGGGACUUGACAAUUAAUGUUAUGUAUCUCCAUGUCAAUCUUUUGUCCAAUAAAAGACAUUGUCAUUACCACCAGUGUUUCAAGUGGAUCAACUGGUGGUGCACACAAAGGGCCAUAAAUGUUAUCAUUCCUAACAUUUGUGAAGGCUUGUUUGGUCUUUAUUGACUUUACCUUUGUGAUACUGAUGAUAACACAUGUGAUCUUUAUGCCAAAAGUCUUUCCAGAUCUCAGGUGCAUACUCUAAACGUAGUCUUGAUCGGAAAAUUGGAUUCUUCAGUGGUAAAAGUUUGUAUUUUUCCACUGAAUGUGUCAAAUUUGUUGAUGGAGCUAGAAAUUAGUCGAUGUAUCACAUGAUGUCCUCAACCAUGUUUCUCUUUCUUCAAAUAACUAAUCUUUGAGGAAGGAAUUAUGUCCCCCCACUUUAGGUUUCGUAACUGGCUCAGUAAAGCGUCAAGUACAAUUGUUUUUGGAUUUCUUCUACUAGGCUAAGAAAUGUAUGUAAAAAUAAGAUAAAUACAAAAUGAUAAAGAAAUAAAAUA